UCUAAAAUAGUUCAAAGAAAGAAAGACUAUUGGCGAUGCAAACACUCAUAAGAAUGAAGGGUGAACACUAGGGAAGCUAGUCAUUUCCAAUCAGCGCUUUAAUGGGACUGAGUGAACGCGUCGCUUCGCCUGCCGAGACGGACAGCACGAGGCAGAACGUCAGCAGUAGAUAUGGCCACCGCUGAGAGACAUUGUUCACACAAUCCCCCCGGUGGGCCAGUGAGGCACAUGCAUCGAGAGGUAGAGACUAAGCUCAAAUGGCUGUUAGCUGGAGCAAGAAAACAAGACACGUGCCGGAGGGGUUGGCAACACGACACAUCACGCACAGUUCACCCACACACAGUCCCUGUAAAUACGUUCAUCAAGCAAGAAGCCGUGGCGAGAGCAAGAAAAUAUUGAGAGUAGACACGCCAUAGAAGAUGGAGGUUCCAGUCCCAAAGGAAGCCCAGCCUUGCAGCCCGUCAGGCCCAGGGUGUCAAUCACCCUGCUGUAAAAUGUGUCACCAUGGAUACGUUGUCCCUGCCCCAGUGUUUUCCUAAAGCAGCUCUGCAGGUCAUCACCUUUAAACUGUCAAUCAAAGAAAAAGCUUUCCAAGUGAUACGGGAAAGUGGAGCGUACACUUUGAGGAGGACUGAUAGAAGAAGGGGAAAUGUCAAUGCUGGUGAAGGGAUUGAAUGAAGCUACCUUAGCAUAUUGCAUUGGUGUAAAGCUUUUUGAGGGUUGCACACCCAGGGACACACACACUCACAUCUAUGCGCCCCUUCUGUGUGCCACACUUGAGUCCUCCAUCGCUCAGCUGCAAGAAAGGGAUAUAAUAGGUAGGGUUGCCGCAAACUGGGGGGGACAAAAAGAUCCAUUCUACCCACUGUUGAUCUUGGUCGCUGCAGCGAUUAGAUAGCGCUGUUGCUCGUUCAGCUGGGGAGAUAAGAAGCAACAGGACCCCGGCGCUGAAACACUUUCAUUCAGUAGAAACGAUAAACAGCAGGUCCUCUGGGGAGGGAGUCCACCCAGAACACAAUGGUGUUGAGUGUGUAGCCACCUGCAGAAUUGGGAACACAGAUCUGACCAGUGAGGUGAGAGUUCUAUGUAGGUGGCAGUCAGCCAUAUCACAUCAUGGCUGGUGGUUUAUGUGGUUCACUGAGGGUUAUGUAUUAAAAGUAGGUCUCAUGGCUGGUGGUUUACGUGGUUCACUGAGGGUUAUGUAUUAACAGCAGGCCUCAUGGCUGGUGUUUUACAGGGUUCACUGAGGGUUAUGUAUUAACAGCAGGCCUCAUGGCUGGUGAUUUACGUGGUUCACUGAGGGUUAUGUAUUAACUGUAGGCCUCAUGGCUGGUAGUUCAUGUGGUUCACUGAGGGUUAUGUAUUAACAGCAGGCCUCAUGGCUGGUGGUUUACAUGGUUCACUGAGGGUUAUGUAUUGACAUCAGGCCUUUAGGACAUUAGACAUUAAGUUGGGGAGAGGUACGUUGUUUUUAUCUCUAUUAAGUGAAAAGAGAGGUGGCGCUGUUUUGCUAGCUCAGCUGCUUUUUUUGGUGAGUUAGGGGCACCAGAUAGAGGGAUGGAUAUGUAGCUAACUAUGCAUGCAGCUGAAUAGCUACCUGAUUAUCUAUUGUAUGUUUUUUUUUUUCCAGGUGUUGUCUGGCACCCCCUUAUUCCUGUCCUUACAUUGUUUGACUGCUUUAGCCAAAACACAAACAGUAAGAUUAGGAUGGGAGAGAAUUGUCCCCGUGGUUUAUAGCAGUACUGAACAAAAAAAGCAAUGGUGGAAUACAUGGGCUGAUACAAAUCCAGCAUCUGACCCCUGAUUGACCCAUUAGGUGUGUACUUCAUUUCUGUGGUGCAGCAUGUUUACUGUUGCCUUGUUUACCUAUUGAGCCUAGAGUGCAGUCUCCGCUAAUGUGGGAAUCUCAAGUGGUAAGUGGAUGUGAACGCAAACACUCUUAUGAGACACAAGGGCCUGAGAACUUGAAAACUUGAAUACUUAAGGUAUUGAGGGAAAAUAAACACUUGUCCAAAUAAUACACACACACCUGUGCAAAUAAUA